AGAGGGCAUGCGUUGUGGGGGAGGUACAGGCGGUCUGCCUGCGAGUGAUUGGGGAUUUGGUUGUAUUUUCACAGGUGACAGGAUGAGGGGGAGAGCUAGUUUCUGUGUGUGUUGGCUUUUAUUUCUGAGGAAAACGUAUCUAGGUGUUGGGCUGUGUUUCCAAGAAGGGAGUGUAGAUGUGUGUCUCUGAAAGAAGGGUAGGUGUGUGUCCCCCUGAGUUGGCAGGCUGCAUUAGGUUGUAUUUUGAAAGGCAGAUAUGCAUGUGUGAGUGUGCAUAUUUUUAUUUUUUAGAAUUGAAAGAGUGUGUCCAGAGUGUGUUGUGUUUCUGAGUGUUUCAUUGUUAUUUCUAAGAGACAGAGCAUAUUAAGUUGUAUUCAGAGAGGGGCAUAUGUGUGUAUUUCAUUGUAUUUGAAAGAAGAGCAUGUGUAUUUUUGAAAAUAUGUAUUGUGUUUUUAAGAAGGAGGGUGUGUUUCUGAGAGGGGAGUGUGUGCAUGCCUGUGUGUGUGUGUGUGUGUUGUACAAGGGCUCCAGGGGAACCAUGAGCUGUUCAUUGACUUUGUCACCCACAUACAACCACACAAAGUCCCAUAUGUGAGACCCCCACCCCUUAUAAUCUUGGCCUCAGACCCUCAGCUGUUGCAUGGCCAGUGUGACAUCCAUGGGCCACACCUGCCACACCUGUGUCCCAGCAUGCCUUGGGCUGACUGGGCCUGUCUGCAGUGAAGGGUGGAGAUCCUUUAACUUCGGGAUCUGUCAGCUCCUCAGGCCCUGGGAGCCAACACGUGGGGUUCCCUCCCUAGCCCCCCAAUCUAGCACCUCCUUGCUUCCAGCAACCCAGCCCCUUGGGCUCUCAUCCCCGCCCCAGCCCCAGUGGUCUGACUGGUUCCCAACAAAAACACCCUAAGAAUGAGCUCACAGAGAGGCUGCUGCCUCCACAUGCCCCACCCCACUCACCCAGCAGGGGAGGGCACCUGCAGUCCAGGUCACACGGCCGGGAGGUCUGGCCAGGGUAUCUGGGGUCCUUGGGGUGGGGAGGAUUGACCAGGUGAGCUGAGGACAGGUGGGACCACAAGACAGCUGUCUACCCUCUUUUGAUUAGUUAUACACAGGGUUUUGGAGUUGCCCUCAGGGCAGAGCCCUGCGCUGAGGACAGGAAAGGUGGCCUAGACUGUGCUGGCUGGGAUGCUGGCUGUGGGACAGGAUGCUGGCUGGAGUGAGGAGGGCACGAGGCAGAGGGCUGGCAGAGAUGGCUGGAGAGGAAGACAGCUGGGAGAGGUCCUGCUGGCAGAAAUGGCAUGGAGACUGAAGGGUUGGCUCUUCUGGCCCCAGCAGUGAUUCCCCAAUCCUGGCCACCCUCAGGAGCAGCCAUGUCUGUCCAGGUGGCAGCCCCUGGAGGCACAGGGCUGGGCCCAGAGCGCUUGAGCCCUGAGGAGCUGGUGCGGCAGACGCGACAAGUGGUGCAGGGGCUGGAGGCCCUGCGGGCCGAGCACCACGGCCUGGCCAGGCAUCUGGCUGAGGCCCUGGCAGGACAGGGCCUGGUGGCUGGCUUGGAACUGCUGGAAGAAAAGCAGCAGGUGGUGAGCCACUCACUGGAGGCCAUCGAGCUGGGGCUAGGCGAGGCCCAGGUGCUGCUGGCCUUGUCAGCGCAUGUGGGGGCGCUGGAGGCCGAGAAGCAGCGGCUGCGAGCACAGGCCCGGCGGCUGGCCCAGGAGAACUCGUGGCUGCGGGAGGAGCUGGAGGAGACGCAGAGGCGGCUGCGGGCCAGUGAGGAAGCCGUGGCCCAGCUGGAGGAGGAGAAGGGCCACCUGGAAUUCCUGGGGCAGCUGCGGCAGUAUGACCCACCUGCAGAGGGCCAGCCAGAAGCCCCCCUUCGCCGAGACAGCCUGGUCUCCUUGUUCCCCAGUGAGGAGGAGGAGAGGAAAGGUCCUGAGGCAGCGGGGGCUGCGGCUGCUCAGCAGGGUGGCUACGAGAUCCCGGCCCGCCUUCGGACCCUGCACAACCUUGUGAUCCAGUACGCGGGACAGGGCCGCUAUGAAGUCGCCGUGCCACUGUGCCGCCAGGCCCUGGAGGAUCUGGAGCGGAGCUCAGGCCACUGCCACCCUGAUGUGGCCACCAUGCUCAACAUCUUGGCACUGGUAUACAGGGACCAGAACAAAUACAAAGAGGCCACGGACCUUCUGCAUGAUGCCCUGCAGAUCCGGGAGCAGACGCUGGGCCCUGAGCACCCUGCAGUAGCUGCCACCCUCAACAACCUGGCUGUCCUCUACGGGAAGCGUGGGCGCUACCGGGAGGCGGAGCCCCUGUGCCAGCGUGCCCUGGAGAUCCGGGAAAAGGUCCUGGGCGCUGACCACCCAGACGUGGCCAAGCAGCUCAACAACCUGGCGCUGCUCUGCCAGAACCAGGGCAAGUUCGAGGAGGUGGAACAGCACUACGCCCGAGCCCUGAGCAUCUAUGAAGCCCUGGGCGGGCCCCACGACCCGAACGUGGCCAAAACCAAGAACAACCUGGCCUCAGCCUACCUGAAACAGAACAAGUACCAGCAGGCAGAAGAGCUGUACAAGGAAAUCCUCCGCAGGGAGGACCUGCCGGCCCCUCUCGGUGAGCCCCAGCUUCUCCCCCACCCCAGGAGGCUUCUCAGUGUCCUCAUGGGUGUCCCCUUCCUGUUCCUCAGGAGCCCCCAACCCAGGCACAGCUGGCGAUGCAGGACAACAGGUGAGGAUGGGCUUUGCGUCUCUCAGGGUGGGGAUGGGGGUACGGGACUGAUUAGUGUCCCUGGUACCCUCCCCAGACCCUUCGUCGGAGCAGCUCAUUCUCCAAGCUUCGUGAGUCCAUCCGGCGUGGAAGCGAGAAGCUGGUCUCCCGUCUCCGAGGCGAGGGGCUGGUGGGGGCAGCUGGGAUGAAGAGAGCUGUGUCACUCAGUGUGCUGAACACAGACAGCCCAGGGGCUGCUGGGAUCCAGGUCUCCAAUCGGCACCUGGGCGAGGCCUCGCGGACCCUCAGCACCAGCACCCAGGACCUGGGUCCCAGCUGAAGGUGACAGACCACGAGGCUGCAGCUCCCAGGGGGGCUGGGGAGAGCUGUGGGGGAGUGGAGUGGCUUCCCCAGUACCAUCUCCUGAGAUUAAAGGCCUUGGCUCUGGCGGUCA